rnacentral:lncRNA from 1 species
UGCUGACCUGAGGGUCACAGGUGAUGUUUCAGCAGCUCAUUAGGACACAACAGCCAUAAGGAGCACGCGGGUGGCACUGCAGGUUGGAUGUUGAGCUGCUCCCAGUGCUGCUGGCAGAAUCCUGUGCUAUGAAGGAGCUGUGCAGGAGAGCUCAGAGCUGCACUGAAAACCCCACGCUGACCUCAGGCGCUGCCCAAGGAGACCGUUUGCAUCAAGGACACCAGGAGAACCAAGGUUGGCCCCAAGCCCUGGGCAGGGCAGAUGGAGCAGCGCAGUGGGGAGUGCAGUGCUGCUGGGUGAUGCCUUAGCGUCCAUCACCCAUUUCCCUUCUAAGCACAGCAGUUUCCCAAAGGAAAAUGACUUUGACUGUAUGUUCCUCCCAUUCUCCGUCCCCAUUCAGCACUUGGGAAAACAUAAAAUAAAGCAAAAUGUGAUGCUUGGCUGCUCUGCGGCUCGGAGCUCCCCAGUGCAGUGUGACAUGGAGCCAGCCCUAACUGCUGCUCCUUCCCACUGCUCAAUGCAGGGUCAGAUCCUGCUGCUGCACCGCAGGUGUGAGAAGGUCUGACCUGACUCCGGACCAAUGGAGCAACGUGACCCACACGAUGCUGCACAAAUCCGGCCCUGGGAAGCCUGGCUGCCCAGCCAUCAGCACAUAGAAGGGAGGAAAACUGACUCAGAAAUGGGAAUUGGCAAAUUUUCUCCAUGUUUCUAAAAUCAUUCGUUGGAAAACGCAGCUCUGGAUCAACUGCAAGCAUCUGCAGAUUCGGAUCAGACGCUGCAGAGCUCUCAGAGCAAUGCCUGAACCCAACUGGACCCCUCAAGUCAAGCAAGCAGGGCUGGUUCUGCGUUUCCAAACCACGUUUUGAAAGGCUGAACCUUUGAAUUAAAUUGAAUUAUCAUACUCUGAAAGAGCGAUGGGCACCCAAUUAAAACACGCAUUCGGCGCAAAACAAAUUGCUUCAUUUUGUAACGUUCCAUAAAGAGAAAAGAAGAAUUCUUGUUCUUUUCCCAGGUGCCAGCAUCGCUUUCUCUGUUUUUCCACACUGAUGCUCUUCACCCACACGGCCCUGCUGGGAUAAGUGGGGUUUCCCUGUGUUUUCUACCCCCAAACUAAGCUGGGAUUAGUUCUCCUGUUGGGAAAGGUUGGUUAAAAUGCAAAAUCCCCUUUAUGUUGAUUGCAAACUCGGCACUGAUGAAAGCUUUUACAUUCAAAGCAAUUGCUGCAGAGCACCACGGCUUCGUGCAAACUGCUUUGUUUCCCAGUAUGAAGCUGGAGAUGAGGCUCUGCUCAGCUAUGGGCAAUGGGAGGACAGCGUGGACAGACCCUGACCCUGCACACCAACUUUGAUGCUGGAGAGGCUGCUUUAUGGCCAGUGAUAAACGCCACAAAAUAUGGUUUUAUAAUAGUGCCUGGGAUGGGCUUUUAAAUCCAGCGGGCAGCUCUGGGGCCUGGAGGGGUCAGAAAAUAUGGGCGCAUUUAUAAGCUGCUGGAGGGGGAAGCUGGCAUUCAUUCUGAGUA